rnacentral:rRNA from 1 species
CCUACGGGAGGCAGCAGGGAGGAAUAUUGGGCAAUGGACGCAAGUCUGAACCAGCAAUGCCGCGUGAAGGAUGAAGGCGCUAGGAGGUGUAAACUGCUGUUGUACGAGGGUAAAAACCGAUACGUGUAUCGGGAUGAAAGUAUCGUACGAAUAAGGAUCGGCUAACUCCGUGCCAGCAGCCGCGGUAAUACGGAGGAGCCGAGCUUUAUCCGGAUUGAUUGGGUUUAAAGGGUGCGUAGGCGGUUUGAUAAGUUAGAGGUGAAAGGUCGGGGCUCAACCCCGAAACUGCCUCUAAUACUGUUUGCCUAGAGUAUCGUUGCGGUAGGCGGAAUGUCUGGUGUAGCGGU